AAAUAUUAUUUUAUUAAAAUAUUUUUUUACAUGUAAAUUAAAUUUAAUUGAAAAAAUUAUUUAUUAAAUAUGAUAUUUUAUUUAUAUUAUUCGCAGUAAUUAAUUUUAUAAAUAAAAUUAAUUUUGAUUUAGAAAUUAUUUUUAGUAUUGAUAAAAUUUGUGCCAGCAAUCGCGGUUAUACAAAUAUUACAAAUAAACUAUUUUAGUAUUAGUUAUUAUAAAAAAAAUAAAAUAAAAAUAAAAAUUUAUAGGUGAAAUUUUAAAUUUUUUAUUAUUUUUAUAUAUUUGUUAAAAAACUAUAAAAUUUUAAAAUUAAACUAGGAUUAGAUACCCUAUUAUUUAAAUAAUUAAAAUAAAAUGCUUAAGUAGUAUUAGAUUUAUUCUUAAAACUUAAAUGAUUUGGCGGUAUUUUAGUCUAUUCAGAGGAAUUUGUUUAAUAAAUGAUAACCCACAAUUUACCUUACUUAGAUUUAUUAAAUUUGUAUAUCGCUGUCAUAAGAAUAUUUUAGGAGAAAAAUAAUUUUCUAAAUUUUUAAUUAAAAAAAUGUCAAGUCAAGGUGCAGUUUAUGUUUAAGAUUUAAAAUGAGUUACAAUAAAUUUAUUUAUAUGGAUAAUUUUUAUACAAUCAAUAAAAAUUUGAAAGUGGAUUUGAAAGUAAUUAAAAUUUAAGAAAAAUUUUUUGAUUUUAGCUCUAAAAUAUGCACAUAUCGCCCGUCGCUCUCAUUAAUUUAAAAUGAGAUAAGUCGUAACAUAGUAGGUAUACUGGAAAGUGUUUCUAGAAAUAU
rnacentral:ncRNA from 1 species